GAUGAUUGAAAUGUCAUCUACUUCCAAAUACUUGAAGGAAGGGUGUGUUGUGGUAUUUGGUUAUUGGAAUAGUUUGUCUUUUGAACUUUCGAGAUUCACUCAAUGGGAUGCACUAAGUAAUUGAAAUGAUUUCACUCAAUUAAGUUUAAUCUAUACAUAUGCAUAUAUAUUUUUUCCUUAACUUAUUGUACUUACCAAAAUCUGGAGCUGGUACACGUCAAGGUGGACGUGGUCAAAGUAGGCUCUUGGACUUUACACUUCAGCUUUGAGAGAGGUCUUUGUUUAGAGGACAAGAGGGA
rnacentral:lncRNA from 1 species